CGAAGGGUGCAAGCGUUACUCGGAAUUACUGGGCGUAAAGCGUGCGUAGGUGGUGAUUUAAGUCCGUUGUGAAAGCCCUGGGCUCAACCUGGGAAUUGCAGUGGAUACUGGGUCACUAGAAUGUGGUAGAGGGUAGCGGAAUUCCUGGUGUAGCAGUGAAAUGCGUAGAGAUCAGGAGGAACAUCCAUGGCGAAGGCAGCUACCUGGACCAACAUUGACACUGAGGCACGAAAGCGUGGGAGCAAACAGGAUU
rnacentral:rRNA from 1 species